rnacentral:lncRNA from 1 species
CAAUGGCAUGAAGGGCCAACUCCAUCUUUAAUCAAUGAAUGAAUCUCACUAUAUACCAUAAAACCUGUACCAUAGCACAAGCUACAAAAUUAACAAUUUCUUAAUUAUCCACUGUCACUAUUAUUCUUAAUCAGCAGUUAACAUGGAAGAGAACACAGGCAGUUGUUUCACCGAGGAACAAGAAGCUCUAGUGGUGAAGUCAUGGAAUGCAAUCAAGAACAACUCAGAAGAUCUGAGUCUCAAGUUUUUCAAGAGGUAAGUCAUUAGUAUUAACUUUUUCAACUCUUGGUUUGUUUCCUGAAAAAAAAUUCAUUUAGGCUUGUAUUAUAUACACUAUUAUUUAACACAACAUUAUUUUUGAACAAUUGAUUAUGACAUGUUAGAAUUUUUGAGAUUGCUCCACCAGCUAAGCAACUAUUCUCAUUCUUAAGAGAUUCAAAUGUUCCUUUGGAGCAAAAUCCUAAGCUCAAGCCUCAUGCCAUGUCUGUCUUUCUCAUGGUAACCUUGCUUAACACUUAGCAUCCAUUAAUUUAUUGAUUAAUUACAAUUAAUUAGGCUCUAAGCUAUUUGUGUCUCUUAAAUUGUUAUAGACAUGUGAAUCAGCAGUUCAACUGAGGAAGGCUGGCAAAGUAACUGUUAGUGAAUCAAACUUGAAGAAGUUAGGUGCCACUCAUUUUAAAUCUGGUGUAAAAGAUGAGCAUUUUGAGGUAAUACUAACAUACUACUACUAAUUAAACUUUCAUUAUUUUAUUUUGUCAAAAAAAAAAAAACUUUCAUAUAUAUUGUUGGUCACUGAGAAAUAAACAAUGCUUUGUGUCAUCUGAUAUUUUGUUCAAUCAAUUUUUAUAUUAUUAAACUUAGACAUCAAUAAAUUAUGGCAUGACCUAGAAUUUUUUAAAUGAAUGAGUGUUGAAAACAAUAUAACAAAGGAGAAAACAAUGUGUGUGUAUGGAAUCAUGAUGGCGACAUAGUGAUUUUGUCAAACUCACCACGAACCCGGACAUAUAUAAUAUGAGUUUAAUCUUUUAAUAUUGUGAGUGUUAUUCCUUAACCAGUGCGGGAAACUCGUUAACAUUUUUCUUUGUUUUGAAUUAAGGAGUAUAGAGACCGUACUACUUUUCUAGAAGACAAAUUAAUGUAUACUAGUUUUUUUUUCUUUGUAUUGUUUUGUUGUUAUGUAAGGUAACAAAGCAAGUCCUUUUGGAGACCAUAAAAGAAGCAUUACCUGAAAUGUGGUCACCAGCUAUGGAAAAUGCAUGGGGAGAAGCUCAUGAUCAACUCGCCAAUGCCAUCAAAGCUGAAAUGAAAAAAGCUGAUCAUGAUCAUCAGGCCAAUGUUGAAGACAAACCCUCCUCUUAAUUAGACUAUGUUUCU